GANCGGGGGCCUGCACAAGCGGUGGAGCAUGUGGUUUAAUUCGAAGCAACGCGCAGAACCUUACCAGCGUUUGACAUGUCCGGACGAUUCCCAGAGAUGGGUCUCUUCCCUUCGGGGACUGGAACACAGGUGCUGCAUGGCNGUCGUCAGCUCGUGUCGUGAGAUGUUGGGUUAAGUCCCGCAACGAGCGCAACCCUCGCCUUUAGUUACCAUCAUUCAGUUGGGUACUCUAAAGGAACCGCCGGUGAUAAGCCGGAGGAAGGUGGGGAUGACGUCAAGUCCUCAUGGCCCUUACGCGCUGGGCUACACACGUGNUACAAUGGCGACUACAGUGGGCUGCAAUCCCGCCGAGGGUGAGCUAAUCUCCAAAAGUCGUCUCAGUUCGGAUUGCUCUCUGCAACCUCGAGAGCAUGAAGGCAGGAUAUCGCUAGUAAUCGCGGGAUCAGCAU
rnacentral:rRNA from 1 species